AAACGUUUUAUUGAAUAAUCAUUUUGAUGCCUAAUACAAUUCUAUCAUGAGUAUUAUAUAGAAGUAAAGCAUAACUAUUAUAUUUCAGCCUUACUAUGAGCCUAACUCUCAAUUAAUAAUAUUUUCUUCAACUAUUAAAUAUGCCCUUUACACAAGUCGUGGCUCAAACGAAUCACAAAAGCACAUACGAAGAAGAGUAUUACUUUUAUUUUAGAUCCAUUUGUACAUAUAUGACCUUUGGGGAUUCCAAACAGAACGUGAGAAAAUCUAUAUACUGUUUGGAUUUCUUAAGAGCCAAUUUCCGGAAGAUUAGAAAUUAGGGCAGAGCCUUCUUUGUUGUAGAUUCUCACAAGGUUUCUCUUGUGCAGUAGAUUUUUAGUGUCAUGCUUUGGCCCCCCGGCCUCCAUCGAUAAGAAUUUCUGGUUACGUCUUUGACCAUGUGAGAACAUAUACACUAUUCUAUGUACCGACCCUACUUUAUCAUUACCAUUUGGUGCAAUUGAGGGAAAACAUGGCUAAGAUUCAAAAGUUUGUUCAUGUUUUUAUGUGUGUCAACCUCUUCAUGAUCUUUGCGGGAGUCUACGCCGAAGACUGUGAGACAUAUAAUGAGUGCAAGAUAUGUUGGAGAGGAAGCCAUACGUGGUCGGGUAUUUGUGUUAAUGGUGAGAAAUGUGCUAAGCAAUGCCUGGAGUGGGAGUCUGCAAUAGAUGGACGUUGUUCAUGGUUCAAAUGCUCUUGCUCCUUCCUGGACUGUUCGUAAUUGACAAGAUAUGGGAUGAAAGGCAAGCAAAUCAAAGAAACUUCUUAUAUGAUGGCCCUUCAGAGGGGAUCGGUCGGUCAAUUUCUUAUUAUUUGCUUAUACUUCUGCAUUGUUAUUAAGGAGCUCACUUAUUUCCAAGUGUUUUGAUCAUUAGUAACCAUUUCCUAAGUGUUUUGAUCCUUUGUAACCAUUUCCUAAUUUGAUCAGGAAAAAAAAUACAUAAAAAUGAAACUUCUAUCUA